rnacentral:rRNA from 1 species
AGCGAACGCUGGCGGCAGGCCUAACACAUGCAAGUCGAACGAACUCUUCGGAGUUAGUGGCGGACGGGUGAGUAACACGUGGGAACGUGCCUUUAGGUUCGGAAUAACUCAGGGAAACUUGUGCUAAUACCGAAUGUGCCCUUCGGGGGAAAGAUUUAUCGCCUUUAGAGCGGCCCGCGUCUGAUUAGCUAGUUGGUGAGGUAACGGCUCACCAAGGCGACGAUCAGUAGCUGGUCUGAGAGGAUGACCAGCCACACUGGGACUGAGACACGGCCCAGACUCCGACGGGAGGCAGCAGUGGGGAAUCUUGCGCAAUGGGCGAAAGCCUGACGCAGCCAUGCCGCGUGAAUGAUGAAGGUCUUAGGAUUGUAAAAUUCUUUCACCGGGGACGAUAAUGACGGUACCCGGACAAGAAGCCCCGGCUAACUUCGUGCCAGCCGCCGCCGUAACAC